rnacentral:rRNA from 1 species
CCCUUAGAUGUUCUGGGCGGCCCGCGCACUACAAUGGCGUGUGCAGCGAGUGCCGAAGUAGAGUUUUCCGAGGUAUUCUUGCAAUGCUCGUUUUGAUGGGGAUAGACCCUUGCAACUGUUGGUUUUGAACGAGGAAUUCCUUGUAAGCAUGGUUUAUCAUCCGACGCUGAAUGCGUCCCUGCCCUUUGUACACACCGCCUGUCGCUCCUACCGAUGAGUCGUCCGGUGAAGUUCGUAGACCUCGUGAUCGCGGAUCACUGGGGGAAGCAAAAUGAACCUCGCGGUUUAGAGGAAGGAGAAGUCGUAACA